rnacentral:rRNA from 1 species
CAGCAGCCGCCGCGGGAAUACAGAGGGUGCGAGCGUUAAUCGGAUUUACUGGGCGUAAAGCGUGCGUAGGCGGCUUUUUAAGUCGGAUGUGAAAUCCCUGAGCUUAACUUAGGAAUUGCAUUCGAUACUGGGAAGCUAGAGUAUGGGAGAGGAUGGUAGAAUUCCAGGUGUAGCGGUGAAAUGCGUAGAGAUCUGGAGGAAUACCGAUGGCGAAGGCAGCCAUCUGGCCUAAUACUGACGCUGAGGUACGAAAGCAUGGGGAGCAAACAGGAUUAGAUACCCGAGUAGUCCCUGUCUCUUAUAA